UCCUGCUCUGAUUCCCUAUUGCAUUCAAAACAGUAAGAAAAUAAAUAAACAAAAUACCAGCACAUUCUAAUGAUGAAUUGCAUGAUUCCAUUAGUCAGGUCCCUUUAUUACUUACCAGAACAAAAAUGUCGCGACUCCAAUGGGAUCUCUUUACCGCUCCUUCCGUUACAGUUUCUAGUAGAAUGGAAACUUGAUAUCAAAGAUGAAAGUAUUUGGCUGACUUAAAUUGUAAGGUAAGAAAAGGAAGCUCCUUGGUUGAUGAUCUUGAGAAACUACUGCUUUUUGGUGACCCAUCUAAAAUAGCAGAUAGUCAAAGAAAUAUUCCUUCUUUCAAGGAGCAGGUCUUCACGCAUUUUAGGUGCUUAUUGAAUCUGUAGAUAUUUCCAUGGGAUAAUGUAACAGUGGCGACAGUACCCCUAUAAUGCAAUCUCUUGAGACUGUUUUGGUUCUUAGACCAAAAGCAGGCUUCAUGAAGUUCCCCUUUCUUCCAGCAGACAUUAACUGUGACAUUGCCCCUGGCCUUCAACCCCUUAACACAACCUUCAGCCCACUUUUCUCGUGGGAGAGCUGGGAGUAAAUAGAGAUCAUGCUUCGUGCUCUGGACAAGCAUUUCUGCAAUUGCCGCAGUGAAACUGAAAAGAGAGUAUCAAAACUAGUUGGCAAGGAUGAAAAUUUGGCCUUCUGCUGAAAAAGUUCAUCAAUAUGUUGAAAGUUGGUAUGGAAUCACAUGAUUUACCCGAAAUUACCAUCAAUCUGGAAUGGAGGGUGUGCUGUGAACAAGUUACUAUACAACCCUCCUUCAAAAGAAAUUUCAUGAUCAGGAUCUACCAAGUUGAUCAACUGCCUGACCAGUUUGUAUGCAUGUUCGCUGUUGUGAAGGCGGGCCCACAAAGCCAUCUUCCAUGUGGUUGACCACGCUGGGCCGGCAUCCCCUGGAAAAGCCAAUGAAACAUUAGUCAAAACAGGCAUUAAGUGAAAAUUUAGAUGUCUGCAUUCAGUUGCACUCUCAAGAUACCUAGAAAGCUAGGCUUGUUGAGAAUUUUGCAGGCUGGCUUACCAACAUGAUCAAUAUGAGGAAUCCUAGUAAUGAGAACUACAUUUAAUUUGGUGUGCUACUAUGUAAAAUAGAGGCCUAAAAAGGCAUGCUGAAUAAACGUGGUGAGGUUUAUUUUCCUUCAUCUCUCAAGCUAGACCAUGGAAAGGCCAACAUCCUAUGCCGUGCAAAUGCAUCUUUUAAGCUUGUUAUUUUCUUAUUUAUUAGUUUUAUUAAGAUAGACCAAAUGAUUGUCUUCAUGUAUUUAGACCAUCAGGAAAUAUUAGUACUUUGACAUUUAUUGAUCAUGCCGCACUUCAUUCUUAGCUAAGAAACUCAUCUUUCUUACCCAUCAUCCAUGUAUGUGGUCUUAAGUCUGUACGNNNNNNNNNNNNNNNNNNNNNNNNNNNNNNNNNNNNNNNNNNNNNNNNNNNNNNNNNNNNNNNNNNNNNNNNNNNNNNNNNNNNNNNNNNNNNNNNNNNNNNNNNNNNNNNNNNNNNNNNNNNNNNNNNNNNNNNNNNNNNNNNNNNNNNNNNNNNNNNNNNNNNNNNNNNNNNNNNNNNNNNNNNNNNNNNNNNNNNNNNNNNNNNNNNNNNNNNNNNNNNNNNNNNNNNNNNNNNNNNNNNNNNNNNNNNNNNNNNNNNNNNNNNNNNNNNNNNNNNNNNNNNNNNNNNNNNNNNNNNNNNNNNNNNNNNNNNNNNNNNNNNNNNNNNNNNNNNNNNNNNNNNNNNNNNNNNNNNNNNNNNNNNNNNNNNNNNNNNNNNNNNNNNNNNNNNNNNNNNNNNNNNNNNNNNNNNNNNNNNNNNNNNNNNNNNNNNNNNNNNNNNNNNNNNNNNNNNNNNNNNNNNNNNNNNNNNNNNNNNNNNNNNNNNNNNNNNNNNNNNNNNNNNNNNNNNNAGGGCGGCGUCCGAAGGGUCUCCGGGGCUCCCAGCGGCCGUUCUCUCUUUCUGGUCCUUCUUUUUGAUGCAUUUUCCAACAACUUCCACUUCAAGUAAUUUCUUUGCUGAUACCUCGGAGUGAUAGAGAAAAUGGGGAUUUCAGGUGGUAGGGGAAUCGAAGAGGAAGGAGGAGUACAUCUGCUUUCCCGAGCACCACUGCACCUGCUACUCUUUCUUCUAUGACAUCGUCAACAGGGGUGAACAGCUCUGUGUAUGCUUCCUAAUUUGUUUUACCAGUUGUUUUUUCUUCUUGGCCUUUUCAGUUACUCAUUUGUCUCCAUGUUGUUCGUAGUGCAAGCAUCAAAUAGCAGCUCGGCUUGCUGAAGCCGUGGGUGCGCUCACGGAAGUGGAGGUGUCUGAUGAGCAGCUGGCGCUUAUGCUUGCGAAACUCUGACAGCUAUAAGCGUCUCAAAUCGUACAGGUAUUAAUUUCUUACUGCUGCUACUUGAGUCUUAGUUUUGAUUUAGUUUUUGGGUAUAGUUUGUGUAGAAGCAUUAACGAGAUGUGUAGUGGAAAAUGUGUCGAACGGCUCUUUCAGCUAUAAAGAAUUUUUCUUGCAUUUUCUGUUUUAUUGGAGUCAUGGUUCAAAUACAAUCAACUCGUAUUUUGAUUGCAUCAAAUAUAUAGUUUAUUGUACACAACAAAUUCCAAUAUUUUGCAGGUAUAAGUUAACGUUCUGCGGAUGCAAUAAUUCAAUUCUCAGUAAAGAGGGUUAACAAAAUUGAUUUUUUCUUCCACAAUAUAUUGAAAAAUAAAGGAGUGGCGUAUCGUCGUGAUUUUAUUUUGGUGCUUGUUCUUUCCAAAAACCAUAUGUGCUGCAAUUUUGGAUGCUAAGGGACAGCAACAGUAAGGAGCAAGAGAAUUUUAGGUGAACGAUGGAUAGCUGCUCUAGAAAACCAAACAUGAGAAUUUAUAUAGGCCUCUGCAACCUAAAAUCCUUGAUCCAUUACGCAAGUUGUCCUUGAAAAUCCUAAACAUGCAGACAAAUAAAAAUAAUAAUAGUGAUAAAAAAACAGUGAAGUGGCUAGACUCAUAUCUCCCCUGUACUACAUGAAUUACUAACAUGUUAGUGAUGCAUAACAAAAUAGAGAUUCUCAUGUUCAGGAAAUUCCAGCUGAAGGUCUAUUGGGAAGAGAAAAUCCCUUCUCUCUCAUUAGAAAAGCGGAUAUCUUCUUGCUUUCUCAUUGCAAUUUUUGCUUUCAAAUCCUUUGUCCAUUGUAAAUGCGUAAUGGCCAUCAGCAAGUUUGUAAAAUGUAGUAAUAUUAGCACCCUUCUUAAAAGAGCUCAUCCUUAAANNNNNNNNNNNNNNNNNNNNUCGUCCUCAAGCUCUAUUGACUUGGACAAUUUUGUACAAUGAGUCAGUAGAAUCUCCUUAUCUCCUUGAAAAUCGGCCAUGGAGCUAAGCAGGACAAAGAGUCCACUUUAAACACUUAGCUCCUCAUAAAAAAAAUUAAGAGAAUGGGAAAGAGGACAUAGCAUGGAGCUAGUUGUUGGAAUUCUUCAGAUUUUAUGUUUAAUUCCAAAUAUUCAGAGGCUCUAGCAACUUAGUCAUUUGUGAUGAUAGAUGACCGUAGAGGAAGGUAAGGUCCAUGGUUUAAGCAAAAGAGCAGUUAGGGAUAUUUUGGGAAGUGAAAAGCUGGGUUAUCAUGUAUACUAGUAAGAAGAGAAAUCCUUUAAUUGCUUCUAGCAGAGGAGCAAACUAAAGUACUUACUUAAUAUAAGCUCUGGGCUGCAAUCCUUCUUACUCUUUUAUCAUGAUUUUGCACGCUCCAUUGCACCUCAACCUUUCUGUUGUCAAGAAAAGCUACUAUUUGAACUCAGACAUUUCCUUUGCAUGUAUCGCCCCUAAGUCUCAACAAUUCUCCCAAAACUUGAGUGCCAACUUCAUUGAUGGUGCCCCUUGUGAAGUGAGGUAGCUUUACUUUCAUCUUCCCACAAACAACUUGCUAAUUAUCUUAUUAGAUGUAACAUUCUGAAAGUGAAGCAAAUGUUUUACUUGUUUAUUGCAUUCGUCUAAUCAGUUUGAAGUGGAACCAGUUGUAUGACCUAUUAAUUUCCAUGUAUAAUUUCAUUUAGCUAAGCAAAUAUUGGAUAUCUGUAGACAUCCAACUGCUGUUCUUUUCCCAUGUAGGAUAACUUUAAGGAUUGUGAAGGAUAAGCAUUGAAAUAAACCUUUAGGAAGCCUAAUAGAAAAAGACAGUUGUUGAAGGGACCUUAAAGGCAAUGUUUGGAUGUCUGGGUAUGUCAAAGAUGGAUAUGACCAUUUCAAUGGGAAAUAGUGGAGGGGGGCAGUCUUACUCUUACGAGAAAAGGGGGGAUGAUGGGAGAAAACAGGAAGGUCAUGUAAAAUGGAUAUGACCUAACUUUAAAUAUGUGUCAUUCUGUGAAUCAUGUUAUAAUGGUUAUGGUAUCUUAUAUAUGGAUAAACUUGGAGAGUACCUGUCAAACAAAAGUUCACGCACUCUUUUUGUCUCUCUCUCUCUAUGUUUUUAUGUGAGCUGGAAUCAUCAACAAUGAUAUUAUUUAAACACUCUAAAUCUCAAAUUUAGGACUUUUGAAUGUAUGGAAGAUUAUUUGAAAUAACCUUUUUGUUGUGUAAUUUGGAUGUUGUAUGUUUUAUGUUUUUUAAUUUCCCCCUUGUUGCAUGUGAAUUCAAAUUACAGUUUUCUUUACCACUAGCUUUUGUAAAUGGCUAUGGAUCACCGAACCUUUGUCUUGUGCAUCCUUUGACUCAAAAAUCAAGUUAUGGGAUGCGGAACUAGGAAGGCCUCUGUACAGUUUGAAUGCUCACAGGUAAUGAAGUGUAACUCAUAAGAUGAAUGACAAAUUUGUAUAUGCUUAAUUGGGGUAAUGUCUUUACUUUUUCUUAUGAACAACAUGUUGUGAUUUGUCAGGCUUCCUGUAUAUUCUGUUGCAUUUAGCCUAAACGGUGAGUGUUUACUUCCUGGCUCAGUUAGAUCAAUGUGUACAUAUAUGGUCCCUGAAAGAAAGGGGAAGGCUGUGAGGACUUACAGUGGGGAAGUGAAAUUUUGUGAAGUGUGUUUGAACCAAAAAGGUGAUAAAGUAGCAGCCUGUUUCUCCAACAAUACUGUAUAUGUGUUGGAUUUUAGAAUGUAUAUAUUCAUUAAAAUUCUCAAUCAACCGAGGUAGCAGGCACAUUUCAUUGUACCCUUAGUGUUGGAGAGACAAAAAUGGAUUGUUCAUGCCCCAACCUAGAAUGACAUUCAAAAAAAAAAGCAUUGCUCUUCAGGUUGGUUGUUAUCGUGCCGCUUCUAUUAAUGUAAACAAUGUUCAUACAAGCAUGACUAUACAUCAUCACAGGUAAAUUUGAAUCUGCUUAGUACUCACAAUUGAUUGUUCAGUAGGAGAUUAGUAAACCUAGGAACACCAGAAAGUAAAUAAGUUGACACAAGCAGGAAAGAAAGCAUGAAAUAAAGAACAUGAAAGCGAGGCAAGUAAAAUGAAAAAGAUGAAGAGCACAAAGGUAUAACUGCAUUUAUACAUUGCCAACACUAAGGAAGAUCUUUUUCGGUAGGCUUGAAAAGAAGCUCAGCCCCUAAACUAAAGAGUCCUACUCUCAGGCUCUAACUGGGUGGAUUUUGUUUUCUUUUUCUAAUGGAGUUUUCUUCUUUGAUACUAGGGUAAGGAUAAAGUAGAGGAUUCUUGAAAAGGUUGUUGGGAGCCUCAUGUUCUGAAAAUACGUGUUAUAUGUAUUCUUUUCUCCUUCCCUUUUUUAAUGGAGGGGGAAAAGGCUCUAAGAAUUUUAAGGGAGUGAAAAAGUCUGGAGGAAAGAAGAUAAUGAUCUCUUUUCUGAGACUCGGUUUAUCCCCCGUGUGAAGAAUUAACUAGGAGAAGAGGUUUAGGAUAUGAUGGGUGUAUGAGUAGGAUUGUAUCUUCUAGGAUGAAGGGUGAGGAUGGCGAAGAAGAUGAUGUACAUUCGUCUACAGAGGCUAUGGACUAUGGAGGGAUUUCUAAAAGUGUAGUUGUAUUCUGUGAAAUGUUAUAAAUGUUAGAGUGCAUUGGAUAUUAGGAUAGGCCAAGAGUGUGCAUGGAUGAAGGAUUAGUGCUGGAGUUCAGUAAUUAUGUUAGCUAGAAGAAAAACAGUUAGAUAUUUGGAUUUGAUCAUUUAAUAUUAGAUGUCGGGAAGGAGUGGUAGAAGCUUGCUGUGCUCAGGCUCAAAGUAAAAGGGAUUUCAAGAAGGUUAAGGCUACAGAUGGCUGUAGAAGUAGGUGCAUGAAUCGCAUUUUUCUUUGGAUAGUUACAGGGUUGUCACUAAUAUCUGCAGAAUGAUAACCUACUCCGACCGCAAUCUGACUUGUAGGUCUACUGGUUAGGUAUGAGUUCAUAUGACAUUUUGGGUUAUGGUUUGGUUCGACUAAAUGCCUCCUUGAUCUCACCAGGUCAUAUUUUGCGUUAACCUUGCCCAAGUCUAAACUGAAUCCAAACCAUGAAGUUUACCUUGUAUAUAAUGUUUGUUUUACCCUUAUACUCCCUAUGUUUCCUAUCAAGUUUAUUAAUUGUCCUUUGGGACUAUGAUAUUAGAGAAUAGUUUUACACACGUUUGUCAUGGUUUCAUAUUUCAGUUUUUAUUUCAAAAACAUGGAACCUAAUGCUGCCUGCCAACCAACACCACCUAAUGCUGCCUGCCAACAUCACCACCGUCUCCACCAUUGUAACCUUAUUCACCGGACGAGUUUUAAAUUUUUGGUGUUCAACAAAAAAAAGGAGAAACUAACUUUAAGUUUUGAAAAAAAAAGAAAACUGAAGAACAGUUACUUUAAAGGGCAUGAAGGAGAUGAGCAUUCAGAAAAAUGGUGUAGUCCCAAGUUGGACCUAAAGCCAACUCCUUCCUAACUCAGUCCAACCCGAACUUGAAUGUGACCAAUUCUUGGAUGGAUAAAAUUUGGGUUAAAUUUGUAAAUCCUAGAAGUCCAACAUGCUCAAUACUAGGCUAGCAGAAACACAGACCUGACUCAUUAGUGGUACCAUCUAGCUCUAUAAUGAUUUAGGGAAUAUUGUGUUUGAAGUAGUUGCUUCGAAACAGUUGGCAUUCAUUGCACCAAGCACUCAGGCAUUAGGGUUUUACAAAUGGGGUGAAGAUGUUCUCUUUCUUUCAAAUGCUGGAGACUGAGUGCUCUUGAAAAAACCUUGCCGAUAAGAUUCAGUAAUUUGGUUUCCCUAGUAUUUUUUUCGGAAAAAAUACUUCAGGUAUCGGUGUUCCUUAAAGUCCCCAAAAUCAAUCUAUCGCUGAUUCGACAACUCGACAUCGAACCACCUCCCUUAUCACACUUCUCAUGUUACACUAAUCCCUGCUAGUUACACUUCUCAUGUACAAAAGGUAUUAUUAGUAUUAGGUAUAGAUUAUAGCAAAUGCUAUGGAGCUUGAAAGAAAAUUUUUAAUUGGUUUUGCAUCAAUACUUUUAUCUUGGGCAAAAUCUCAACCUGUAUUGAUGCAACAUAUAGAAAAUCUUGACCCUUAUUAACUACAUUACUAUAAAUUGGUAAAGCUUAAGAUAUCAGCCAGUCCUAUAAAAACAUAUUGGCCAAUACAUUUUAAAACGUGAAUUUACUCUCUUAAAUAAGUUUCUAAGUUAACUAUUUUUAAAAUAAAUAAUUAACAACCAAAAAUUUUUGGUAGCUUUUUUUUCAUUUUCAAAUUUGCUCGCUUGCUCACGGAAGGUUCUUAUAAUAGUACGGGUUUGUUGACCUCAUAAAGGCGAUCCAUCGUGACAACAAAUUCCACGAUAACAAGAAACAAAAAUUAUUCAUUCGGUGCCUACUCGUUUUCCUCUCUUUAAUUCCCAAUGAACAAUAUGAUCUUAGCCUAUUAUUUAUUCAAUUUGGUCAAUCAAAUUUAGUUCACUCAUUCAUCUUGAUUUUCUCUGAUUACCUAAUUGAUAACGAACUCCUCAAUGAGCAAUGCCGCAGGUUGCUAGUCUUUGCUUUGCCGGUCAACCAUAAAAAAAGAGAUUGAUUGCCUCACCAAUGAUGAUUUAAAAAAAUUCUUGCUUAUUUUUUAUUGCUUUAAUCGACCGGAACUACUCAAAUAAAACUAAUUGCCAAUCUCCAAUUUACCAUACCGGCCAUAAGUUCAAUAUCUCCAUCUUAAAAAUCGGCAAAAAUUUUAAAAAAAUCCUAGAUCCUUUUUAAGUUUUCCCAUCUAUCAUAUCAACGAGAUGAUUAUCCACCAAGGUGUUCGGCAUCAUACUUUUUUAAUAAAAAAAACACUUAUUUACAUCUAAAUUAACAUGCCAUUCCUGUCAAAUCUUAGCAGCAUGCUUCUGAUGGGCCUGUAAUGACCCCAUUUUUCUAGUCUCUUCAUUGUUUAAGGAUUCUCCUGCUCUGCUUCCCUAUUGCAUUCAAAACAGUAGAAAAUAAAUAAACAAAAUACCAGCACAUUCUAAUGAGGAAUCCCAUGAUUCCAUUAGUCAGGUCCCUUUAUAACUUACCAGAAGAAAAAUCUAGUGACUCCAAUGGUAUCUCUUUACCGCUCCUUCCGUAACAGUUUCUAUUAAACAUGUAAAAUGGAAAGUUGAUAUCAAAGACGAAAGUAUUUGGCUGACUAAAAUUGAAGGUAAGAAAAGGAAGCUCCUUGGUUGAUGAUCUUGAGAAACUACUGCUUUUUGGUAGACCUAUCUAAAAUAGCAGAUAGUCAAAGAAAUGUUCCUUCUUGCAAGGAGCAGGUCUUCACCCAUUUUAGGUGCUUAUUGAAUCUGUAGAUGUUUCCAGGGGAUAAUGUAACAGUGGCGACAGUACCCCUAUAACAUGACGAGUUUCAAAUUUUUAGGUGCCUGUCAACAUGACCACCUUCUCCACCAUUGUAACCUUAUUCACCUGACGAGUUUCAAAUUUUUGGUAUUCAACAGAAAAGGAAAAACUGACUUUAAUUUUUGAAAAAAAAAAAAAGAAAACUGAAAAACAGUAACCACCUGCCUUUCCUUUAAAGGGCAUGAAGGAAAUGAACAUUCGGAAAAAUGGCAUAGUCCCAAUAAGAUCCAAUCCAACUCAGGUCUUGAACCUAAAGCCAACUCCUUCCUGACUCAGUCCAACGCGAACUUGAAUUCGACCAAUUCUUGGAUGGAUAAAAUUUGGGUUAAAUGUGUAAAUCCUAGGAGUCCAACAUGCUCAAUACUAGGCUAGCAGAAACACAGACCUGACUCAACAUGAUAGCACCCUUAUGUGUGAUUAGAGGUGUGAAUCUACCACGUACCAGUUUUUUAUAGAUGAUGGGGCAGGCUAAUGGUACCAUCUAGCUCUAUAAUGAUUUAUGGGAUAUUGUGUUUGAAGUAGUUGCUUAGAAACAGUUGGCAUUCAUUGCACCAAGCACUCAGGCAUUAAGGUUUUACGAAUGGGGUGAAGAUGUUCUCUUUCUUUCAAAUGCUGGAGACUGGGUGCUCUUGAACUCCGUUGAACCACUCUCUGCAUUCAAAAUACUAUACAAAAGGUAUUAUUAGUAUCAGGUAUAGAUUAUAGCAAAUGCUAUGGAGCUUUAAAGAAAUUUUUUAAUUGGUUUUGCAUCAAUACUUUUAUCUUGGGCAAGAUCUUAACCUGUAUUGAUGCAGGAUAUAGAAAAUCUUGACCCUUAUUAACUACAUUAAUGUAAACCGGUAAAUCUUGAGAUAUCAGCCAGUACUAUAAAAACAUAUUGGCCAUUACAUUUAAAACGUGAUUUUACUCCCUUGAAUCAGUUUCUAAGUUAACUAUUUUAAAAUCAAUAGUUAAAUAAUUCAGUAUCAACAAUUUUCAGUAGCUUUCUUUCAUUUCCAAAUUUGCUCGCAAAAGGCUCUUGCAUUAGGACGAGUUUGUUGACUGCUUAAGAGCAAUCCAUCUUAGUGACGGAUUCCACAAUAACAAAAAAUAGAAAUUAAUCAUUCGAUAUCUACUCAUUCUCCUCUCUUCAAUUCCAAAUGAACAAUAUGAUCUUAACCCAUUAUUUUUUCAAUUUGGUCAAUCAUAUUUAGUUCACUCAUUCAUCUUAUGUUUUCACUGAUUACCUAAUUGAUAACAAACGCUUAAACAAGUUACUAGUUUAUUUGUUCCAAGAGGUUUUGAAGCCUGGAACUCUUUUGAUAAGCCAAUGGAGCCUCAAUGAGCAAUGCCGCUGGUCGCUAGUCUUUGCUCUAUCAGUCGACCAUAAAAAAGGAGAUUGAUUGCCUCACCAAACUGAUGAUUAUUUUAAAAAAUUCUUGCUGAAUUUUUAUUGCUUUAAUCGACCGGAAGUACUAAAGUAAAACUAAUUGCCAAUCUCCAAUUUAUCAUACUGGCCAUAAGUUCAAUAUCUCCAUCUUAAAUAUCAGAAAAAAUUUCAAAAAAUCCUAGAUCCUUUUAAGUUUUCCCAUCUAUCAUAUCAACGAGAUGAACAUUCACCAAGGUGCUCAGCAGCAUAGUUUUUUUAAAAAGAAACAUUUAUUUUACAUCCAAAUUGAGAUGCCAUUCCUGUCGAAUGAAAGCAGCAUGCUUCUGAUGGGCCUGUAAUGACCCCAUUUUUCUAGUCUCUUCCUUGUUUAAGGAUUCUCCUGCUCUGAUUCCCUAUUGCAUUCAAAACAGUAAGAAAAUAAAUAAACAAAAUACCAGCACAUUCUAAUGAUGAAUUGCAUGAUUCCAUUAGUCAGGUCCCUUUAUUACUUACCAGAACAAAAAUGUCGCGACUCCAAUGGGAUCUCUUUACCGCUCCUUCCGUUACAGUUUCUAGUAGAAUGGAAACUUGAUAUCAAAGAUGAAAGUAUUUGGCUGACUUAAAUUGUAAGGUAAGAAAAGGAAGCUCCUUGGUUGAUGAUCUUGAGAAACUACUGCUUUUUGGUGACCCAUCUAAAAUAGCAGAUAGUCAAAGAAAUAUUCCUUCUUUCAAGGAGCAGGUCUUCACGCAUUUUAGGUGCUUAUUGAAUCUGUAGAUAUUUCCAUGGGAUAAUGUAACAGUGGCGACAGUACCCCUAUAAUGCAAUCUCUUGAGACUGUUUUGGUUCUUAGACCAAAAGCAGGCUUCAUGAAGUUCCCCUUUCUUCCAGCAGACAUUAACUGUGACAUUGCCCCUGGCCUUCAACCCCUUAACACAACCUUCAGCCCACUUUUCUCGUGGGAGAGCUGGGAGUAAAUAGAGAUCAUGCUUCGUGCUCUGGACAAGCAUUUCUGCAAUUGCCGCAGUGAAACUGAAAAGAGAGUAUCAAAACUAGUUGGCAAGGAUGAAAAUUUGGCCUUCUGCUGAAAAAGUUCAUCAAUAUGUUGAAAGUUGGUAUGGAAUCACAUG
rnacentral:lncRNA from 1 species